GAUGAAGAACGUAGCGAAAUGCGAUAAGUAGUGUGAAUUGCAGAAUUCAGUGAAUCAUCGAAUCUUUGAACGCACAUUGCGCCCCUUGGUAUUCCAUGGGGCAUGCCUGUUCGAGCGUCAUUUGUACCUUCAAGCUUUGCUUGGUGUUGGGUGUUUGUCUCGCCUUUGCGUGUAGACUCGCCUUAAAAUAAAUGGCAGCCGGCGUAUUGAUUUCGGAGCGCAGUACAUCUCGCGCUUUGCACUCAUAACGACAGCGUCCAAAAGUACAUUUUACACUCUUGACCUCGGAUCAGGUAGGGAUACCCGCUGAACUUAAGCAUAUCAAUAAGCGGAGGA
rnacentral:misc_RNA from 1 species